rnacentral:rRNA from 1 species
UUGAUGGCGAGUGGCGGACGGGUGAGUAACGCGUAGGAAUAUGCCUUGAAGAGGGGGAUAACUUGGGGAAACCCAAGCUAAUACCGCAUAUGCUCUGAGGAGCGAAGCUGGGGACCUUCGGGCCUGGCGCUUUGAGAAUAGCCUGCGUCCGAUUAGCUAGUUGGUAGGGUAAAGGCCUACCAAGGCGACGAUCGGUAGCUGGUCUGAGAGGAUGAACAGCCACACUGGGACUGAGACACGGCCCAGACUCC